AUGAAGGACGUACUAACUUGCGAUAAGCGCAGAUAAGGCAGUAAGAGCCGUUUGAGUCUGCGAUUUCCGAAUGGGGAAACCCAACUGCAUAAGCAGUUACUGUUAACUGAAUACAUAGGUUAACAGAGCAAACCGGGGGAACUGAAACAUCUAAGUACCCCGAGGAGAAGAAAUCAACCGAGAUUCCGGUAGUAGCGGCGAGCGAACCUGGAUUAGCCCUUAAGCACUCGGUGAAGUAGGUGAACAAGCUGGAAAGCUUGGCGAUACAGGGUGAUAGCCCCGUAACCGACGCUUCAUCGAGCGUGAAAUCGAGUAGGGCGGGACACGUGAUAUCCUGUCUGAAUAUGGGGGGACCAUCCUCCAAGGCUAAAUACUCCUGACUGACCGAUAGUGAACCAGUACCGUGAGGGAAAGGCGAAAAGAACCCCUGUGAGGGGAGUGAAAUAGAACCUGAAACCGUGUACGUACAAGCAGUAGGAGCACCUUCGUGGUGUGACUGCGUACCUUUUGUAUAAUGGGUCAGCGACUUAUAUUCAGUGGCAAGGUUAACCGUAUAGGGGAGCCGUAGCGAAAGCGAGUCUUAACUGGGCGCUCAGUCUCUGGAUAUAGACCCGAAACCGGGUGAUCUAGCCAUGGGCAGGUUGAAGGUUGAGUAACAUCAACUGGAGGACCGAACCGACUAAUGUUGAAAAAUUAGCGGAUGACUUGUGGCUAGGGGUGAAAGGCCAAUCAAACUCGGAGAUAGCUGGUUCUCCCCGAAAGCUAUUUAGGUAGCGCCUCGGACGAAUACUACUGGGGGUAGAGCACUGUUAAGGCUAGGGGGUCAUCCCGACUUACCAACCCUUUGCAAACUCCGAAUACCAGUAAGUACUAUCCGGGAGACACACGGCGGGUGCUAACGUCCGUCGUGGAGAGGGAAACAACCCAGACCGCCAGCUAAGGUCCCAAAGUAUUGCUAAGUGGGAAACGAUGUGGGAAGGCUCAGACAGCUAGGAUGUUGGCUUAGAAGCAGCCAUCAUUUAAAGAAAGCGUAAUAGCUCACUAGUCGAGUCGGCCUGCGCGGAAGAUGUAACGGGGCUAAGCAAUACACCGAAGCUGCGGCAAUAUCUUUUAGAUAUUGGGUAGGGGAGCGUUCUGUAAGCCGUUGAAGGUGAAUCGUAAGGUUUGCUGGAGGUAUCAGAAGUGCGAAUGCUGACAUGAGUAACGACAAAGGGGGUGAAAAACCUCCUCGCCGGAAGACCAAGGGUUCCUGUCCAACGUUAAUCGGGGCAGGGUGAGUCGACCCCUAAGGUGAGGCCGAAAGGCGUAAUCGAUGGGAAACGGGUUAAUAUUCCCGUACUUCUGACUAUUGCGAUGGGGGGACGGAGAAGGCUAGGUGGGCCAGGCGACGGUUGUCCUGGUUCAAGUGCGUAGGCUUGAGAGUUAGGUAAAUCCGGCUCUCUCUAAGGCUGAGACACGACGUCGAGCUGCUACGGCAGUGAAGUCAUUGAUGCCAUGCUUCCAGGAAAAGCCUCUAAGCUUCAGAUAGUCAGGAAUCGUACCCCAAACCGACACAGGUGGUCGGGUAGAGAAUACCAAGGCGCUUGAGAGAACUCGGGUGAAGGAACUAGGCAAAAUGGUACCGUAACUUCGGGAGAAGGUACGCUCUUGAUGGUGAAGUCCCUCGCGGAUGGAGCUGACGAGAGUCGCAGAUACCAGGUGGCUGCAACUGUUUAUUAAAAACACAGCACUGUGCAAAAUCGCAAGAUGACGUAUACGGUGUGACGCCUGCCCGGUGCCGGAAGGUUAAUUGAUGGGGUUAGCGCAAGCGAAGCUCUUGAUCGAAGCCCCGGUAAACGGCGGCCGUAACUAUAACGGUCCUAAGGUAGCGAAAUUCCUUGUCGGGUAAGUUCCGACCUGCACGAAUGGCGUAAUGAUGGCCACGCUGUCUCCACCCGAGACUCAGUGAAAUUGAAAUCGCUGUGAAGAUGCAGUGUACCCGCGGCUAGACGGAAAGACCCC
rnacentral:rRNA from 1 species